CUUCACCGAACCCAGCCACAACGGGUCGCCUUCGCCACGAUCACGGCCAUACGUCGCCAGCAGCGCCUGCGCCUC
rnacentral:antisense_RNA from 1 species